rnacentral:lncRNA from 1 species
UUCUAUUUCCCUCCUUCAGUUAAAGCCCUGCAAGUAGUGGAAUCAGGACUCUUACUGGGCUAGCUCAACCUCUAACUCUGAAGCACAAACAUGCCGGUCAGUUUUGUGUUUCUCGGCAUUUCUGAGUUGAUAUCUGGUACUUGACAUUCAAUUCUUUGCUGAUCAUCAUCUCCUGGUUUUUCUCAACUCAGAAUGCCUUUGUUGUGCAAUCUGUAAGCUUCAUACAUCUAAGUGGAGCAGAGAUCUUGUAUUAAAGUCAUUUUCCACCUGGGUGUGGUGGUACAAACCUUAUAAAUCCCAGCAUUCCAGAGGCAGAGACAGGUUUUUUUUUUUUAAGCCAUCCGGUUUGACAUGGUGAAUUUCAGACAAGCCAGAGAGAUUUAUGUUCAGUCUCAUAGGCCAGGGCAAAUAGUGAGGUAGCUGUUUAACUUAACAAAGUGGACCUGGUCACCAAGUUCUCUCAGCAUCCCUUAGUCCUUCAAGUUACAAGGUAAGGAUAGCAUGCCCUUCCCUAUAUAAUUCAGCUGUUUGGGGCUAUGCCUCAGUCUUUUUGAGCCUAGCUACCCUUCUUGGUCAGUGGUCCCUCUCUUCACCAGCCACUCUUCUCACAGCUGAGUCAUGUCCACACUGGACUCCCAGACUUCCCUGCCUCUUAACUAUGCUCUGCCUUUCAUCUAUAAUAGACUUUCAUUCCAUCAUACCUUGGAGCAGUCAUGUUCUUUUCCUUUUUUGUUUGUUUCUUUUUUUUUUUUUCUCUUCUUUUUUUCUUUUUUCCAUUCAAUAGAGAGGUCGGGGAAGCCUGUCUCAAAAAUAAAUAAAUAAAUAAGUAAAAUAAUCAUUUUUCUCAAGACUGGAAGUUAGGUGGGGAAGAACAGUUGCUCAGCAAGCAUAGAGACCUGAAUUUGAAUCUCAAGCACGUACAUUAAAAAUAGCUGAGUAUGGUUGCCCAUGCCUGUAACCCCAGAACCUGAGAGCAGUGAUCCUGAGAGCUUGCUGACCAACCAACCAAUCUAGCUGAACUGGCAAGCCUCUGUUUCAGUGAGAGAUGCUAUCUCAAGACAGUACUGCAGACAGCAAUAGAGAAAGACAUCUGCAGCCUGCUCUGGGCCCCACAUACUCAAGUGCAUGCAACACACAGACACACACACACACCCAGUUCCCCUCUAUUCAAGUGCAAGACCUGCUCAGCUAUCUAACCAGGAAGUAACGCUUUUCUAAAGAAACAAACAUUGAAAGUGAUUACCAGCUAACUUUUGUCUUAUUUAACAUCCAUGAAAUUCUCAUGCAUUAAAAACAUUUUUAUAAAGCGAUCCACACAGUAAUGUUAAAACAUCAAAAUCAUCACUUUUUUAGAACAUAGAGUCAGAAUAAGAAAGGUUGAAAUGUGGACUUUAGUUUUUAUUCUGUUCCUUUUUUAAAAAAAGGUUUAUUCAUUUACUAUGUAUAGUGUUCUGCAUGCAUGCCUAAACACCAGAAGAGGGCACCAGAUCUCAUUAUACAUGGUUAUGAGCCACCUUGUGGUUGCUGGGAAUUUAACACAGGACCUCUGGAAGAGCAGCCAGUGCUCUUAACUGUUUCUCCAUCUCUCCAGCCCUAUUCUGUAACUUUUUGUACUGGGUUAGUUUGGUAGUGUUUGGCUCUUGCCAUAGUAUUGCUUAAUAGUAUUAAAAGCUACUGACAAACCAUAUUUUUUCCAAGCUUAAAACUACAAGAUGACUUGUUUAUUUGAGGAUGACUUCC